AACGAACGCUGGCGGCAUGCCUAACACAUGCAAGUCGAACGAGACCUUCGGGUCUAGUGGCGCACGGGUGCGUAACGCGUGGGAAUCUGCCCUUGGGUUCGGAAUAACAGAGAGAAAUUUCUGCUAAUACCGGAUGAUGUCUUCGGACCAAAGAUUUAUCGCCCAGGGAUGAGCCCGCGUAGGAUUAGGUAGUUGGUGGGGGUAAUGGCCCACCAAGCCGACGAUCCUUAGCUGGUCUGAGAGGAUGAUCAGCCACACUGGGACUGAGACACGGCCCAGACUCCUACGGGAGGCAGCAGUGGGGAAUAUUGGACAAUGGGCGCAAGCCUGAUCCAGCAAUGCCGCGUGAGUGAUGAAGGCCUUAGGGUUGUAAAGCUCUUUUACCAGGGAUGAUAAUGACAGUACCUGGAGAAUAAGCUCCGGCUAACUCCGUGCCAGCAGCCGCCGUAACAC
rnacentral:rRNA from 1 species